AUAGUUAUGGUCUUGAAACUUAAAAAAUUUGGCGGUAUUUUANUNNNNNNNNAGGAACCUGUAAUGUAAUCGAUAUUCCACGAUGAAUYUUACUUAAUUUUAUUGUUUAAUUUGUAUAUCGCCGUUAUUUGAAAAUUUUAUAAGAAAAAUAAUUUUCUAAAAUUUUUAUUAAAAAAUAAAUCAGGUCAAGGUGCAGUUUAUAAUUAAGUUUUAUAUGGGUUACAAUAAAAUUAUUUAUACGAAUUAAAAAUUGAAAAAUUUUUAUAAAGGUGGAUUUGAUAGUAAAUUUUUAAAGAUAAAAAUAUUGAUUUUAGCUCUAAAAUAUGUACACAUCGCCCGUCGCUCUUGUUAAUAAUAUAAGAUAAGUCGUAACAUAGUAGAUGUACUGGAAAGUGUAUCUAGAAUGUCAAUUUAAAGCUUAUUUUAGUAAAGUAUUUCAUUUACAUUGAAAUGAUUAUUGUGCAAAUCAAUAUAAAUUGAUAAAAAUUAAUUAUUAAUUUUUUUUAAAAAAAAAAUAAUUUAUUAAAAAUAAUUAUAAAAUUUAUUGUUAUAGUAUUGUUUAAAGAAAAAAUAAUUUUAAUUAUAGUUAAUUAGUAAUGUAAAUGAAAUU
rnacentral:rRNA from 1 species